CAUUAAGAAGCUAUACAGCAUUAACCUUUUAAGUUAAAGACUGAGAGUAUAUAAAUCUCUCCUUAAUGA